rnacentral:tRNA from 1 species
GAACCCGUGGCUCAGUGGUUAGAGCGUUUGACUUCUGAUUAACGGGUCAUGGGUUCG